UUGUCAUUAGUUGCCAUCAUUUAGUUGGGCACUCUAAUGAGACUGCCGGUGGACAAACCGGAGGAAGGUGGGGAUGACGUCAAGUCCUCAUGGCCCUUAUGGGUAGGGCUUCACACGUCAUACAAUGGUCGGGACAGAGGGUUGCCAACCCGCAGGGGGAGCUAAUCCCAGAAACCCGAUCGUAGUCCGGAUUGCAGUCUGCAACUCGACUGCAUGAAGUCGGAAUCGCUAGUAAUCGCGGAUCAGCAUGUCGCGGUGAAUACGUUCCCGGGUCUU
rnacentral:rRNA from 1 species